rnacentral:rRNA from 1 species
GACGAACGCUGGCGGCGUGCUUAACACAUGCAAGUCGAGCGGUAAGGCCCUUUCGGGGGUACACGAGCGGCGAACGGGUGAGUAACACGUGGGUGACCUGCCCUUAGCUCUGGGAUAAGCCUGGGAAGCUGGGUCUAAUACCGGAUAUGACUCCAUGACGCAUGUUGUGGGGUGGAAAGCCUUGUGCGGCUAGGGAUGGGCCCGCGGCCUAUCAGCUUGUUGGUGGGGUGANGGCCUACCAAGGCGACGACGGGUAGCCGGCCUGAGAGGGCGACCGGCCACACUGGGACUGAGACACGGCCCAGACUCCUACGGGAGGCAGCAGUGGGGAAUCUUGCGCAAUGGGCGAAAGCCUGACGCAGCGACGCCGCGUGGGGAUGACGGCCU